CAGAAAUAGACGCUAGCAUCGCAUGUUUACUAACACAGCGGUCGUGUUUUGACUUAACAUUUAAUGAAAUUUCUGUAAAUUUGAUCAAAUUACUCCAGCUACUGCUUGGACAGUACACCGCCCCAGCUGUUGGGAAAAAAGGCACCCGCCGAGUGACAAGUGAAGCUGGGAACACCGAGCGCCAAGUGUGCAAGACAACCACAGGGAUAAAAGAAUGGAUCUGCUUUGCAACCAGUGGCGGAGCUACGUGGCCACCCUUGGUCACUCUCCGGCCACCCCAGUGGCCACCCCAGUUAUGACAAACGCGACUCUGUGGUGUAGGACAUUAGUUUCACUAAUUUCACUGCAGCACACAACUUGCCGUGCGGAGGAGCUGUUAAUAAAGGUGCGUCGUGCAUGAACAGCAAGCGUUAGGUAAGUUUUCCAUGAUACUUUGGUCGGUUCCGGUCAAGUUUUCUCACUAUGUUGACAUAAAUCUGUUAAAAAUGGAAGCUUUCUGUAGCAGCAUGAGUGGACAUGUAAACAGUAUUAUGCCCUGUGCGGGUUUCGCCGCCAUGAUGGGGAGCAGAAACCAGAAAUUGUGCAUUGAAAACAUGUACUCGGCACACUGCUCAGCUAUUAAUUGCUCUAAUAGGCGGUCCAAAAGCAGUGGCGGCGCUACGGGGUGGAAAGUGGCCAUCCAGACAUCUCAGGUAUCAACUUAUUGCCACCCCUAUGUGAGUAAUGGUCUCACCUUUGCCACCCCAAUGAA